rnacentral:rRNA from 1 species
CCUACGGGAGGCAGCAGUGGGGAAUAUUGGACAAUGGGCGAAAGCCUGAUCCAGCCAUGCCGCGUGUGUGAAGAAGGCCUUCAGGUUGUAAAGCACUUUCAGUGGGGAAGAAAGCCUUGGGGCUAAUACCCUCGAGGAAGGACAUCACCCACAGAAGAAGCACCGGCUAACUCCGUGCCAGCAGCCGCGGUAAUACGGAGGGUGCGAGCGUUAAUCGGAAUUACUGGGCGUAAAGCGCGCGUAGGCGGUCUGAUAAGCCGGUUGUGAAAGCCCCGGGCUCAACCUGGGAACGGCAUCCGGAACUGUCAGGCUAGAGUGCAGGAGAGGAAGGUAGAAUUCCCGGUGUAGCGGUGAAAUGCGUAGAGAUCGGGAGGAAUACCAGUGGCGAAGGCGGCCUUCUGGACUGACACUGACGCUGAGGUGCGAAAGCGUGGGUAGCAAACAGGAUUAGAUACCCGAGUAGUC